AGAUUGAACGCUGGCGGCAUGCCUUACACAUGCAAGUCGAACGGUAACAGGGAGCUUGCUCCGCUGACGAGUGGCGAACGGGUGAGUAAUAUAUCGGAACGUACCUUUGAGUGGGGGAUAACUAGUCGAAAGAUUAGCUAAUACCGCAUACGAUCUACGGAUGAAAGCGGGGGAUCGCAAGACCUCGUGCUCAUAGAGCGGCCGAUAUCUGAUUAGCUAGUUGGUGAGGUAAAGGCUCACCAAGGCUUCGAUCAGUAGCUGGUCUGAGAGGACGACCAGCCACACUGGGACUGAGAUACGGCCCAGACUCCUACGGGAGGCAGCAGUGGGGAAUAUUGCACAAUGGGCGCAAGCCUGAUGCAGCGACGCCGCGUGGGGAUGAAGGUCUUCGGAUUGUAAACUCCUGUCAUUUGGGAACAAGGUGCACACGUUAACUGCGUGCGUAUUGAUAGUACCAGAAGAGGAAGAGACGGUAC
rnacentral:rRNA from 1 species